rnacentral:tRNA from 1 species
GCCGAUUGGGCUGCUUAGCAGGUCACUGUGAUAUAGUGGUAGUAAGGGUUUAUUACCUUCGUCGGUA